AUGCAAUUCGUUAAGCCUAUCACAUUCCUGAUGGACACCUAGUAUGCAUUGGCUGCGAAAAGUAGAUUCCUUAGUAGUUGUAUACUGCUCAUUUCUUGUAUGUGUUGCUGUAAGAGACUGGGGAAAUAUUA